CUUGGCUGAACGCACUUGUAACUACCUUCUUCAGGAAGCAGCAGCCAGGAAAACAUAAUGGUGGUGAGGUCAAGGCCAGGGGUCAGGUCCAUGUCGGUGGAUGAGGGUGGGGUGCUGGUGGCAGGAGCACCCACCACUCAGGUUCCUGUCUUCGUUGAAUGAGAGGGCCACCCUUGCAGGGGCCCGGUGGAGAGGCUGCAAGGUGCCCCUCGACCCUCUACGACAGCUCAGCCAGUCCCUGCUGCAAAGGGCACACGCUGGCUCCUCUCUGUGCAGAGGACACCUUCACCCCUCACUCCGCCGCUUUGAGGAUGGAGCACCUAACUUGGGAGAGGAGGUUUCAGCCUGCGUGGACCCCAAGAACCAUCCGAGGGGUGGUUGGGCUGAGAACUGGCAGAUGGGGUCUUCCGGUGAUGGGGUCUGGGGUUGCAAAGAAGGUGCCUCCAGGAUCGGAUCCCUGUGCCCAGCCGCUUGA
rnacentral:lncRNA from 1 species